rnacentral:rRNA from 1 species
AUUGAACGCUGGCGGCAGGCCUAACACAUGCAAGUCGAGCGGAUGAAGGGAGCUUGCUCCUGGAUUCAGCGGCGGACGGGUGAGUAAUGCCUAGGAAUCUGCCUGGUAGUGGGGGAUAACGUCCGGAAACGGGCGCUAAUGCCGCAUACGUCCUGAGGGAGAAAGUGGGGGAUCUUCGGACCUCACGCUAUCAGAUGAGCCUAGGUCGGAUUAGCUAGUUGGUGGGGUAAAGGCCUACCAAGGCGACGAUCCGUAACUGGUCUGAGAGGAUGAUCAGUCACACUGGAACUGAGACACGGUCCAGACUCCUACGGGAGGCAGCAGUGGGGAAUAUCGGACAAUGGGCGAAAGCCUGAUCCAGCCAUGCCGCGUGUGUGAAGAAGGUCUUCGGAUUGUAAAGCACUUUAAGUUGGGAGGAAGGGCAGUAAGUUAAUACCUUGCUGUUUUGACGUUACCAACAGAAUAAGCACCGGCUAACUUCGUG